UACAGAGGGUGCAAGCGUUAAUCGGAAUUACUGGGCGUAAAGCGUGCGUAGACGGUUGCGUAAGUCAGAUGUGAAAGCCCCGGGCUCAACCUGGGAAUUGCAUUUGAGACUGCGUAGCUAGGGUGCGGAAGAGGGAAGCGGAAUUUCCGGUGUAGCGGUGAAAUGCGUAGAUAUCGGAAGGAACACCAGUGGCGAAAGCGGCUUCCUGGUCCAGCACCGACGUCAGGCACGAAAGCGUGGGGAGCGAACAGG
rnacentral:rRNA from 1 species